CUUCCUCCUCCUCCUCCUCCUCCUCCUCAAUUCUAUCGUAUAUUUCUUCACGUCAAGGGAAACCACGAAGCUUCUAGAAUCACAUCACCGUUGAUCUCGGCCUCUGAACUUGCCGCUCCAGUCUGAGUCCCUCUCUUCUGAAGCUCUGAUUAUUAAGCACAUCCUAUCCUAUCAUGGCUCCGCCCCUGGUGGAGCAAAACGGCGACGCAGCGGCCGCCGGCGAUUCGCAGAGGUCUACUCUAACGCCGUUCCUGACGUAAACCAAUCAGCUCGUCGAGGACGCCAAAAUAGACGACGUCAUCUCCUGUAACGAGGACGGAUCCAGCUUUGUGGUGUGGAAUCCUACCGUGUUCACCCGAGAUUUGCUCCCCGAGUAUUUCAAACACAAUAACCUCUCCAGGGAUCUACGAACGUGGGGCCUGAUUAGUCGGUGGGAAUUCCCCAACGAUUGCUCCCGGAGAACGAGAUGUUGAGAACGGAGAACAGGCUGUUCUGCAAGGAGCUCAGGCAGAUGAAAAGGCCGAAACGAUGUCGUUUCGGCUCAUGUCUAUUAAAACAUAAUAUUUUCAACACCGUUAGUUUCACAUAAGUAGCCAUGUUACAUUUCAAUUUAGGGCGUUGACGGAAGGGCAUGAUUGUUAAACAGAGUGAAAACGAUGGUAGAUUAGUGGCAAAAAUAUAUGUUGGGCAAAAGUGAUGGCAUUUUGAAAAGUUGAGAGUAAUAGUGAUAGCGUACUCUAAAAUAAAUAACCAUGACUAACUAUUAUUGCAAUUGGGUUUUUACCAGUGUUAUUAGAGACGGACCGGACGUUGACCGGUUGAGGCUUGGGUUCAUGAUUUUUUGGGUCGAACCCGGGCUCGAUGUGUCGAACUGCAUAUUUAAUUAAAUUAUAAAUAAAUGUGCUAAAUUAAUUUAAUUAGCGUUUAUGAUAGCAAAAUAAUAUGUUAAGCGAUGGUUAAUGUAAAAUAAAUUGAGUAUACAUAGAAAUAAAUGCAAAUCUACAAUUAUGGCACGAAGGAAGUAGUAGUGGUGUGGUUAGCAAGUCAAGCAUUUCUAUUGUUGGGGCGUCACUAGACGGCAAUUCAAUUCUCCCCUACGUCAAGCUCAGUUUCACUUAUUUUAUUAAAAAAAAAUAGAAGGAUCCUGUGAGUUCAUUGUUGGUUCA